AGCAGCCGCGGUAAUUCCAGCUCCAAUAGCGUAUAUUAAAGUUGUUGCAGUUAAAAAGCUCGUAGUUGAAUUUCGGGAUCAACACGUCGGUCGUGCCAUCGGUAUGCACUGGCGUCGUUGGUUUCUCCUUUCUGAUGAUACGUGAUGCCAUUAAUUUGGUGUUACGAGGAAUCAGGACUGUUAACUUUGAAAAAUUAGAGUGUUUAAAGCAGGCAAUCGCUUGAAUACAUUAGCAUGGAAUAAUGAAAUAGGACGUUCGAUUCCUAUUUCGUUGGUUUCUAGGAUCAACGUAAUGAUUAAUAGGGAUAGUUGGGGGCAUUAGUAUUCAAUUGUCAGAGGUGAAAUUCUUGGAUUUAUUGAAGACUAACUACUGCGAA
rnacentral:rRNA from 1 species